rnacentral:rRNA from 1 species
AGUGAACGCUGGCGGUAUGCCUAACACAUGCAAGUCGAACGGCAGCACAGUAAGAUCUUGCUCUUACGGGUGGCGAGUGGCGGGCGGGUGAGGCAUACAUCGGAAUCUACUUUUUCGUGGGGGAUAACGUAGGGCAACUUACGAUAAUACCGCAUACGUCCUACGGGUUAAAGCAGGGGAUCUUCGGACCUUGCGCGAUUGAAUGAGCCGAUGUCGGAUUAGCUAGUUGGCGGGGUAAAGGCCCACCAAGGCGACGAUCCGUAGCUGGGCUGAGAGGAUGAUCAGCAACACGGGAACGGAGCCACGGCCCAGCCCCUUACGGGAGGCAGCAGAGGGGAUCAUUGGACAAGGGGCGAAAGCCUAAGCCGGCAAGCCGGCGUGGGUGAAGAAGGCCUUCGGGUUGUAAAGCCUUUUUGUUGGGAAAGAAAAGUAGCAGGUUAAUACCGCGCUGUUCGGACGGAACCCAAAGAAUAAGCACGGCUUAAUUCGGU